GUUGUACCCACAGACAUAAGUCAUCGACUUAUCUACAAACAGUUAAACAAAAAACAAAAAAAAACGAAAAAAACACGUUUUCGGGUGAGAUUCCAAAAAAUGUCGGUACUUUUGUUUUAUUAACACUGAUAUUUGCAUUUCUAAAUUUGUAUCACUAAAUGUGAGUUUUUGUUAUAAAAGAUAUAUUAUCAUGCUGUAAUAUUUAAGCUACUUAUAACAAAAAAUGUUAGCAAUUAAAAGUGAUUUGCAUUUAUAAAGUAUAAAUAUACCCUUGGACAGAAAUUAUGAGAAUAUUUAUAGAAAAUAUUUAUUAAAUUCGUUUCAACAAGAGUAUUUUAUUUUAUGGUGCUAUCUCCUGUAUAUUGUAAAAAAGUCUCAUUAUCAACUGAGUGAAGAAAAGGCAUCUAAAGUUGAAAAUAUUUUAGUAAAAAAUUGCAUUUCCUUACUUGGAUACAAUUGCAUUGCCAGUAUCUUAUGACACUUGGUGUUUACCUAAGAUAUUAGUUAAGAAAAGGCUGCCUGACUUCUUUCUACUCCCACUGUGAAAAGUUGAAGAAAGGCAUUUACAUUGUUAUUAGACUAUAAUAUUGAUUGGUAUUUAAAUGUGAUGUUUAAUUGUUAUUCAUUUAUUACAUUGUAUAACUUAUAUGUAUUGAUAGUAACUUAAAUACUUUUAAUGCCUAAUUGCUGAUAACUUAAAUACUUCUUUUGGAAUACCCAAUCAACAGGAAAAUAUUGUAGAAUUUUUGUUGUAGCUUUUUCAAAAAGUUUUCUAAAACAGAAAUAGGAACUAAAAUCAAACUUAGUACACACGUAUAAAACCUUAUAAUUACACCUCAUAUAAAUAUCUUCAUUAAGAUAAUUAAACUAUACAAAGGUUAUUGAGAUGUAGCAGUCAGCAUGAGUUAAAAAGACAGAACGUGCCUAAAACUCAUACAGAAAAGAAUCUUCAUUUUUUUAGAGUAUGUGGUACAGUUUUUUUUUUCGCAGAAGGAACAUGUAACUAGACACAGUCACACUCGUACUUUGGAGCAACUUAAUUCUUAUAGUGUGUGCAAUAAGAAAGUUUCAAUGAAGAUGAAUUUAAAUCAACAUGAUAACACACACACUAUUCAAAAUCUUUAUUCUUGUGACAUAUGUAACAAAAGUUUUUCACAAGAGAGAACAUUGUCUACACACAGAUGUGUUCACACGGGUGAAAAACCUUAUUCUUGUAGUGUAUGUAACAAGA